GACGAACGCUGGCGGCGUGCCUAACACAUGCAAGUGGAGCGACGAACCAGACUUCGGUCUGGGGCAAAGCCGCGAACGGGUGAGUAACACGUGGGUAACCUGCCCUGAUGAUUGGGACAACCCGAGGAAACUCGGGCUAAUACCAAAUGUGCCCCGCAGCCGCAAGGCUGCUGGGGAAAGGAAGCUUCGGCCUCCGCAUCGGGAUGGGCCCGCGGCCCAUUAGCUUGUUGGUGAGGAAUGGCUCACCAAGCGACGAUGGGUAGCUGGUCUGAGAGGACGAUCAGCCACACUGGGAC
rnacentral:rRNA from 1 species